CCUACGUGUGGCAGCAGUGAGGAAUAUUGGUCAAUGGGCGCGAGCCUGAACCAGCCAAGUAGCGUGAAGGAUGACUGCCCUACGGGUUGUAAACUUCUUUUAUAAAGGAAUAAAGUGAGGCACGUUUGCCUUUUUGUAUGUACUUUAUGAAUAAGGAUCGGCUAACUCCGUGCCAGCAGCCGCGGUAAUACGGAGGAUCCGAGCGUUAUCCGGAUUUAUUGGGUUUAAGGGGAGCGUAGAUGGGUUGUUAAGUCAGUUGUGAAAGUUUGCGGCUCAACCGUAAAAUUGCAAUUGAUACUGGCAGUCUUGAGUACAGUUGAGGUAGGCGGAAUUCGUGGUGUAGCGGUGAAAUGCUUAGAUAUCACGAAGAACUCCGAUUGCGAAGGCAGCUUACUAAACUGCCACUGACAUUGAUGCUCGAAAGUGUGGGUAUCAAACAGGACUAGAUACCCUUGUAGUC
rnacentral:rRNA from 1 species